rnacentral:ncRNA from 1 species
GCGCUCCGGAGAAGUCCGCAAAGGGUGCCGAAGGUGCAAGCGAUAAGCAAAUCUCUCAGGCAAAAGGACGGAGUA